CUGGCUCAGAUUGAACGCUGGCGGAAUGCUUUACACAUGCAAGUCGAGCGGCAGCGCGGGGCAACCUGGCGGCGAGCGGCGAACGGGUGAGUAACACAUCAGAACGUACCCUGUUGUGGGGGAUAGCCCGGCGAAAGCCGGAUUAAUACCGCAUAAGACCUGAGGGUGAAAGCGGGGGACCGCAAGGCCUCGCGCGACAGGAGCGGCCGAUGGCGGAUUAGCUAGUUGGUGGGGUAAAGGCUCACCAAGGCGACGAUCCGUAGCUGGUCUGAGAGGAUGAUCAGCCACACUGGAACUGAGACACGGUCCAGACUCCUACGGGAGGCAGCAGUGGGGAAUUUUGGACAAUGGGGGCAACCCUGAUCCAGCCAUUCCGCGUGAGUGAAGAAGGCCUUCGGGUUGUAAAGCUCUUUCGGCAGGAACGAAACGGUGGGCUCUAACAUAGUCUGCUAAUGACGGUACCUGAAGAAGAAGCACCGGCUAACUACGUGCCAGCAGCCGCGGUAAUACGUACGGUGCGAGCGUUAAUCGGAAUUACUGGGCGUAAAGCGUGCGCAGGCGGUUUCGUAAGACAGAUGUGAAAUCCCCGGGCUUAACCUGGGAACUGCGUAUGUGACUGCGAGACUGGAGUGUGGCAGACGGGGGUGGAAU
rnacentral:rRNA from 1 species